GAUUUUUCUUCUCUUUCUUAAAGCAGAGAAUCCACGAUCCCUAAUUUUCAAUUUUACUUUAAUUUAUUGUGUUCAGGCCACCACUUCACGAAUCCACCGGCGUUAUACAGAGAUCUCUUCAUUUCUUUUGAUUGCAAGUCAAAAUAGAAGACCAUGAUUUCUGAUAGAGACGAACCCAUAACGGUGACGACUUUCUCUCCCUCAAUAACAGAGACAAAGAAAACAAAGGAAGAGGAUGAAGGAGAGAAGAUACUCUAGAUGGAGUGAUGAAAGAGGACGAUGGCGGUGGCUAAUCCCAAGUUUCUUUCCGUAAGUCAAGCUCCGACACCACAAUUGCGUCUACGGUCACCCUCUCCAACGGUGCCGCUGCGUUUUGCCUCUGUUCGCCUCCUCUCAAGAUCGGGGGCGAUGGUUGGAACCACAAGCCCUGUCGCAGUGCCGGUGAUGAUGUGGCGACUAAGGUCUGAUGAUUUUGAAAAACUCUAAAAGGAUAAAUUGAUUUAGACUCGAUUGAAAAGCAGAGAAACCAGAAGGAAGAAGACGAAGUACAAGCUAAUAAUAUGAAGUGUUGUGUGCGGAUUCAUCAACUGAGUAGCAACAAGUAGUAUUUGUGUUCUCCUUAAAGCUUGUGGCUUCGAUUUACUUCUAUCAAAAUUGUACGUGGCAGUAACUAACUACACAAGACAAGAAGAGACAAACCUCUAGUCUUUAAGCUCAUCGAUCCACAUCACACUGCGAGAGAGAGAGGAGGAACUGCGAAUCCGAUCUCGUCAUGGCGGAGACUCGCGGUGGUGGUGGUGGUGGUUGCUGUCCGCCGAUGGAUCUAAUGCGCUCGGAGCCGAUGCAGCUCGUUCAGGUCAUAGUGCCAAUGGAAUCUGCUCAUCUUACCGUCUCUUAUCUUGGCGAUCUCGGCCUCGUCCAGUUCAAAGACCUGAAUUCUGAGAAGAGCCCAUUUCAACGCACUUAUGCUGCUCAGAUCAAAAGAUGUGGAGAGAUGGCACGAAAGAUACGUUUCUUCAAAGACCAAAUGUCAAAGGCUGGAGUUUCUCCCAAACUUAUCCUAGACAAAGAUGUUGAUAUUGAUCUGGAUGAUGUUGAGUCCAAGCUUGGAGAGCUGGAAGCUGAACUUGUCGAAAUCAAUGCUAAUAAUGACAAGCUGCAGCGCUCUUACAAUGAACUUGUUGAGUACAAGCUCGUUCUUGAAAAGGCUGGUGAAUUUUUUGCGUCAGCCCAUAGAAGUGCUACUGCUCAACAGAGUGAGAUAGAAUCUCAGCAAGUGGGUGAAGACGUCCUGGAGACUCCUUUGUUGCAGGAAGAGAAGUCUGUUGAUUCAACAAAGCAAGUGAAGCUUGGAUUCCUCACUGGACUAGUGCCUCGCGAAAAGUCUAUGGUGUUCGAGAGGAUCCUAUUUCGUGCAACUAGGGGCAACAUCUUCAUUCGACAGUCUGUCAUUGAGGAGUCCGUUGUUGAUCCCAACUCUGGGGAGAAGGCUGAGAAAAAUGUAUUUGUUGUCUUCUAUUCUGGGGAAAGAGCAAAAAGCAAAAUUCUGAAGAUAUGUGAAGCUUUUGGGGCCAAUCGCUAUCCUUUCAGUGAAGAACUUGGCAGACAAGCUCAAAUGAUGACUACGGUUUCGGGUCGGUUAGCAGAGCUUAAAACUACCAUAAGUGCUGGGUUGGAUCACCGCAAAAUUCUUCUGGAGACCAUUGGAGAUAAGUUUGAGCAAUGGAACCUCAAGGUUCGCAAAGAAAAAGCCAUUUAUCACACUUUGAACAUGCUUAGUCUUGAUGUGACUAAGAAGUGCCUUGUGGGUGAGGGCUGGAGUCCUCUGUUUGCAGCGCCGGAAAUUCAAGAGGCAUUGCAACGAGCUGCGGUUGACUCCAAUUCUCAAGUUGGAUCAAUUUUCCAGGUUCUGAGGACCAAAGAGAUGCCUCCGACAUUUUUCCGCACAAACAAAUUUACCACUGCGUUUCAGGAAAUUGUUGAUGCAUACGGUGUAGCCAAAUACCAGGAAGCCAAUCCUACUGUAUUCACAAUUGUUACCUUCCCCUUCCUGUUUGCUGUUAUGUUUGGUGACUGGGGUCAUGGAAUCUGUCUGCUUCUUGCAACUAUGUAUCUAAUAUUGAGAGAAAAGACACUUUCAAGUCAGAAACUUGGGGAUAUUAUGGAAAUGGCUUUUGGUGGCCGUUACGUUAUAUUGAUGAUGUCACUCUUCUCAAUAUACACUGGUUUAAUCUACAACGAAUUUUUCUCUAUACCAUACCCGUUGUUUGCUCCCUCAGCAUAUGAGUGCCGUGAUGCCUCUUGCAGUGAGGCUACUACAAUUGGUCUGAUCAAGACCCGAGACACUUAUCCAUUUGGUGUGGAUCCUGUGUGGCAUGGUACCCGCAGUGAGCUACCGUUCCUGAACUCGCUUAAGAUGAAAAUGUCAAUCCUUCUGGGAGUUGCCCAAAUGAACCUUGGAAUCAUAAUGAGCUUCUUGAAUGCAAAAUUCUUCAAAAGUGCCGUAAACGUAUGGUUCCAGUUCGUUCCCCAGAUGAUAUUCUUGAACUGCUUGUUUGGCUAUCUCUCGGUGCUCAUCAUCAUAAAGUGGUGCACUGGUUCCCAAGCGGAUUUAUAUCACGUUAUGAUUUACAUGUUCCUUAGCCCUAUGGAUGAUUUAGGAGAGAACCAGCUUUUCCCUAACCAGAAAACAGUACAGCUCACUUUCCUCUUUCUAGCACUGGUAUCUGUUCCGUGGAUGUUGUUGCCAAAGCCGUUCAUCUUGAAGAAACAACAUGAAGCUAGACAUCAAGGUCAGUCAUACGCACAGCUUGACGAGACAGAUGAGAGUCUUCAAGUAGAGACAAAUGGAGGAUCUCAUGGACACGAAGAAGAGUUUGAAUUCAGCGAAAUCUUUGUGCACCAGCUCAUUCACACCAUUGAGUUUGUGCUUGGAGCUGUUUCCAACACUGCUUCAUAUCUUCGUCUAUGGGCCCUCAGUCUUGCCCACUCGGAGUUAUCGUCAGUAUUCUACGAGAAGGUUCUCCUUAUGGCAUUGGGUUUCAACAAUAUAUUCAUCCUUAUCGUUGGGCUCCUCGUCUUCAUCUUUGCAACGGUGGGAGUGCUUCUGGUGAUGGAGACGUUGAGCGCGUUCCUUCACGCUCUGCGUCUUCACUGGGUGGAGUAUCAGAACAAGUUCUACGAAGGCGAUGGCUACAAGUUUGCUCCCUUCACCUUCACUCUCGUCGGAAACGAAGACGAGUGAGAGUGAUGAUGGAUCGUGAAUUACUGAAAAAGCCCUCUUCUGCGUGUGCAUAAUAUAUAUAAGCAAGCAGAAGCAUCCUAUAUGUGGUGGUGUGGUUACAACGACACUACCGUGUGUGAAACACCUAACGUAUUGAAGAUGUUAUGGCCCUUUCUAGUCUUAGAGAAGAGCAACUUUCUGUGCACGUUAUUUAUUUCAGCAAAUUGUUUUUAGUAGUUGCUGCUAUGGGAUCAGUCUCGGCUACAACUGCAAGUUUCUUGUUAACCAGCAGAAAAAGGUUGCGUCUUUUAUAAAAGGAUCUCACUCCACACCAAAGUAUCCUUAUUGCUGAAUGAUGUAUGCUGUGUUACUAACGAGAUUAGUUCUUCCACUCGGAACACACAGGUCACAUCACUGGAAAAGAGGGAUUUUUCAUAUAAUUUUUUUUUCUUGGUUUAAAAUAGGUAGAGUAUUUAUUAGAUCUUCAAUACUGAACAAUUUGAAUAUGAGAAACAAAUUGAAACAAAGAAAAUCAAAAUCCAUGAAAAAAAUCUUCAAUCUUGUCAUCA